rnacentral:rRNA from 1 species
GACGGAGGAGGCAAGCAUUGUCCGGAAUUAUUGGGCGUAAAGAACACGUAGGCGGUUUGUCAAGUCAUAUGUGAAAACCUUGGGCUUAACUUAAGGAUUGCAUAUGAUACUGGCAAACUAGAGUAUAGUAGAGGAAAGCGGAAUUCCUGGUGUAGCGGUGAAAUGCGCAGAUAUCAGGAAGAACACCAGUGGCGAAAGCGGCUUUCUGGACUGUUACUGACGCUGAGGUGUGAAAGCUAGGGGAGCGAACAGG